UGAGCAAUCUGCCCUUCUCAUCGGAAUAAGCGUUGGAAACGACGUCUAAUGCCGAAUACGACCUCCUUUCGCAUGAUCGGAGGUGGAAAGCUCCGGCGGAGAAGGAUGAGCUCGCGGCCUAUCAGCUAGUUGGUGUGGGUAAUGGCCCACCAAGGCGACGACGGGUAGCCGGCCUGAGAGGGUGACCGGGCCCAACGACCGUACGGGACUUGGGAACGACGACGGACCCACGGACCUCGUACGGUAGACGGA
rnacentral:rRNA from 1 species